GAGUUUGAUCAUGGCUCAGAGCGAACGCUGGCGGCGUGUCUUAGGCAUGCAAGUCGAUCGCAGCGCAGCCGUAGCAAUACGGUGGGCGGCGAGAGGCGGACGGGUGAGUAACAUACAGGAUCUACCCUGAGGGCGGGGAUAGCCAUGGGAAACUGUGGGUAAUACCCGAUGAUCCUCUAUUAUUAACUAAUAAGGGGCAAAGGAGGCCUUUAAAGCCUUACCUUGGGAUGAGCCUGUUCCCAUCAGGUAGUUGGUAGGGUAAUGGCCUACCAAGCCGAAGACGGGUAGCUGGUCUGGAGGAUGGUCAGCCACAAGGGGACUGCGACACGGCCCCUACUCCUACGGGAGGCAGCAGCAAGAAUUUUCCGCAAUGGGCGGAAGCCUGACGGAGCGACGCCGCGUGAGGGAAGAAGGCUUCGGAUUGUAAACCUCUUUUCCUGGGGAAGAAUAAGGUAGGGAGGGAAUGCCCUACUAUGACGGUACUCAGGGAAUAAGCCCCGGCUAGUUACGUGCCAGCAGCCGCGGUAAUACGAAGGGGCUAGCGUUGCUCGGAAUCACUGGGCGUAAAGGGCGUGUAGGCGGCUAUACAAGCAAAUGUAAAAUCCCGUAGCUCAACUACGGAUAUGCGUUUGAAACUGUAUAGCUUGAGUUGGUAGAGGGUGAUGGAAUUCCCGGUGUAGCGGUGAAAUGCGUAGAUAUCGGGAGGAAC
rnacentral:rRNA from 1 species